UUUGACAAAGGAUAAUAUAGUCUUUCCAUGAUUCAACUUCGUAGUAUUUGCAUUUCUCAAUUCACUGAUAACGUUACACGUCAAAUCACUCUUCAGCCAAAUUCUUACACGUCUAAACCUUAUCAUAAAUACUGUCUUCACCUAAAUUUCUUUCCAAUUUACAGUCCACUUGCAUUCUCUCUUUAUUCUCUGCUGCCAAUUUAUGUGAUUCUACUAAGGCAGGUGCUUGAUUUCUUAGUCGUUGUUCUCUGUCUCCAAGUUUGACUGUCUGCAUAGCUUUGCUCUAUGUCUGUGGCUGUAUAUGAAACAGUAGGUAAGUAUGGUUUUGUUCAAACAAAAAGAAAAAAGGAAAUUGAAGUUUAACUGCGUCUGACACAACGGAUGUGUUUUUCAAGAGUUCUAACAGGGAAAACCAUUUGGUUUUGGUGUUUCCAGAGGUUUAUAUAAUGUAUUUCAAGAAGUUAUGGAACUUUAAUUAACCUAUAAUACUCUGCAGAGACCAUCUGGUAUUUUUCUGCACUUCCAUUGAAAAAGUGUCAUAGGGACAAUAAGAGUAAACAAUUUCAUAUUUGGAUUGAUCAACUCUUACCUACACAGGCGAUGAUAAUUGAAACGUCAUUGACUAAAGAGGAAAUGAAAUCUGCAAUUCAAUCUUGUGCACACAAAGUUGAAUAACCAAUCAAACCAUAAAAUAGCAAAUGAUACAAACAAAAUGACCAGUCUUUCCGUGGAGGCAGCAUAAGAUGCGAGAAGGAAGGUUGAGAUGGUUUGGGUAUGUGAUGAGGAGGGGCACGGAUGAACUGGAAGGUUGAGAUGGUUUGGGCAUGUGAUGAGGAGGGGGCAUGGAUGUCCCCAGUUCGGAGGUGUGAGAGGCUGGCUUUAGGAGGAGUAGAGGUAGGCCAAAGAAAUACUGGAGGGAGGUGAUUAGACAUGUCAUGAAGCAGCUGAAGCAGCCUCAGCUCACUGAGGACAUGACCCUAGACAGGAAGGUGUGGAGGUCGCGGAUUAGGGUAGAAGGUUAGGGCGAGUGUAUGGAUUGUGGCUAGGUGUUAGGAGAGCGAGUGUGUAUCCGGGCAAUAAUCCCAGGCCUGUGUCCUUGAGUAGGAGCCUUUAGCCAAGUGAGUUCGGGUGGGGUGGGUAAGUGGGUGUCCUAGUUCUUAUUUCUUAUUUCGUAUUGCUCUUAUUUCGUACUUCACUGAUAUUUAUUUCUAUUAUUUCUUAUGUCUGCAUGUCAACCUUUCCUGUUACAUGUUCCAAUACGAUCUUGGUGUAUUAUUCGAGAUUCUGAGCCGGGGGUCUUAUCGGAAACGGCCUCUCUACUUCUUCGGAGGUAGUGGUAUGGACUGCGUACAUCUUACCCUCCCCAGACCUCACUUUGAGGAAAUACCCUGGGCCUGUUGUUGUUUGUUUCCAUGGAGGCAGCAAAUGGAUGGUAAGGCAUUGAAACCGAACUAGCAGACGCUGAAAUUAAUAGCUACAACAGCAGAGAAAAGAAAUGACUUGUACCAUGUCCUGUUCUCAAUGAAAAUGGUGUCGACUUAGUGUUUAGACCUGGAUAUCGUUGAGUUAGGAGCUUGUUUGCUGUCUACAAAGUGUUUUACGUUUACCUGGAUAUCGUUGAGUUAGGAGCUUGUUUGCUGUCUACAAAGUAUUUUACGUUUAUAGAUCGAUGUAAUAUUAUUGCCAAAUCUUGAUAAGCUAAUUUCUAUAAGUGCUGUGUGUGUUGACGUA